GUCCAGGCAGCCAGCCAGUGUUGCUGGAGAGGCGAGAGCGGGAGGUCGCACACCGCUCGUCUCCUGACUCCGGGACCAUCUCUCUCUCUCUCUCCCGUCUGUCCCUCUCUGUCUCCUUCCAGCAUUGGUUGAAAGUGUUGACGGUGCCAGUAUUUUAUCUAUGGUGUGGGUUGUGACAGAGAGAUGCCGAAGUGAGGAAGGGCUGUGGUGGGGAUUAUGAGUGAGGAGAGUUUGGUUCGCGGGUAGGAAGAUAAAAGAGAAGAAGAAGCCAAGAUGAAGUUGAAAUUAAGGCAUCUAAUUAUACAGUUCGGUUUUGCUGUGGCCCUCAUCAUAACAGGUUGUAUGGCCAAUCCGGAUGCGAAACGGCUGUACGAUGAUCUACUGAGCAAUUACAAUCGGCUCAUUCGGCCUGUUCUGAACAACUCCCAGAAGCUCACGGUCAACCUGGGAUUGAAACUCUCGCAGCUGAUUGAUGUGAACUUGAAGAACCAGAUUAUGACAUCCAAUGUCUGGGUCGAGCAAAGAUGGAACGACUACAAGUUACAGUGGAAGCCAGAAGAGUAUGGGGGAGUCGACAUGCUCUAUGUCCCCUCCGAACACAUAUGGCUCCCUGAUAUUGUGCUCUACAACAAUGCUGACGGAAACUACGAGGUGACGCUCAUGACGAAGGCCACGCUGAAAUAUACGGGAGAGGUUAUGUGGAAGCCCCCGGCCAUCUACAAGUCUUCCUGCGAAAUAGACGUCGAGUGGUUUCCGUUUGACGAACAAUCGUGCAACAUGAAGUUCGGAUCGUGGACAUAUGAUGGUUUGCAGGUGGAUCUGAAACACAUUAAACAGAAGAGAGGGAGCAACAUUGUCCAACUGGGAAUAGACCUCAGAGAAUUCUACAUGUCUGUGGAAUGGGAUAUUCUGGAAGUUCCAGCCCGAAGGAACCAGGAGUAUUUCCCCGGAACGCCUGAACCAUACCCAGACAUCACCUUCAACUUGACGAUGCGCCGGAAGACGUUGUUCUACACUGUCAACCUCAUCAUUCCCUGCGUCGGUAUAUCCUUCCUGACGGUGCUGGUCUUCUAUCUACCGUCCGAUUCAGGGGAAAAGGUUACUUUGUGUAUCUCCAUUCUGCUGUCCCUCACUGUGUUCUUCCUUCUGUUGGCUGAAAUCAUUCCCCCCACCUCCUUGGCUGUCCCCCUCCUCGGCAAGUACCUCCUCUUCACCAUGAUCCUCGUCACCCUCUCCAUCUGCGUCACCGUCGGCGUACUUAACAUCCACUUCAGAUCGCCCUCCACCCACAAAAUGUCGCCCUGGGUCAAACGCGUCUUCAUUCACAUCAUGCCCAGACUGCUUCUCAUGAGACGGCCACAGUACGACCCAAGGGAAAGAUACAUCAGGUCUCCUUCUGAACAAGAGUACUUCGAUGGACUCGGCGACGGAGAUGUAUGUGAUCCAUACAACGAUCCCUUCGUAGAAUUUCGAGGAGGCGAGCGAAGGGGCUUCAAUGGUAAUGGUGGCAGUGCCGGAGGGGGUGGAGGCGGAGGUGGCGGAGGAGGAGGUGGAGGUGGUGGCGGUGGCGGUGGUGGAGGGGGAGGAGGAGGCGGAGGCGGAGGAAACGGAUUCAAGUUCAACGAAGAUUUUCUGACUUCGCAUUCUGCUGGUAAAUGUGGUUUUCUCCUCACUUUUCGGAAGUGUAAAGAUUUUAGAUGUUUUGAUGAAUUGCUAAGGGAGGUUAUUAAAGACCUUGGGGGCUGUCACCUCCACAACCAGAGAACUUACUCACCUGAAAUCCAAAAAGCGAUUGAGGGAGUCCAGUAUAUUGCUCAGCACAUCAAAGAUGCAGACAGAGAUAAUGAGGAAUGCGAAGAUUGGAAAUUUAUAGCGACGGUCCUUGACCGACUUUUCCUGUAUGUGUUUCUGCUUCUAAAUAUCUUUGGCUUGGUGAUCUUUUUCCGAGCUCCGUCCCUCUAUGACCAAAGACCCUCAAUAGACAAUGAGCUUUCUGAAAUAACCUUAGUCAGCACCAGGCGAUAUGAGUAGGCUUCUCUCGCGUAGGGGCUGUCCCAAAUGCGGUGGUGAAGGUGGUAGUGAAGGUGUUGGUGUUGGUGUUAAUGUUGGUGUUGGUGAUUUGAUGGUGGUGAUGAUGAUGAUGAUGAUGAUGAUGAUGUUGGGGCGUGCCGCGAGAGCGAGAGAAAGCUAGCGAGUCGCCAUGUUGGUUUUCCAGUGAUUGAAGAUUGGAAGUACGUCGCAAUGGUACUGGAUCGCUUGUUCCUGUGGGUCUUCACCAUCGCUUGCGUUGUUGGAACCUGUGGGAUCAUCUUCCAGGCGCCCUCCCUCUAUGACACCAGAGGACCCAUAGACGAAGUCUAUUCAGAAAUCGGUCCUGCAAUUGCGGGUCAGAAUAAUUAAAUAACUUGACUCCUCCCAAUUAAAUAAAAGAAGAAGAGUUGAAA